rnacentral:rRNA from 1 species
UACGUAGGGGGCAAGCGUUGUCCGGAUUUAUUGGGCGUAAAGAGCGUGUAGGCGGCCAGGUAGGUCUGCUGUGAAAACUCGAGGCUCAACCUCGAGAUGUCGGCGGAAACCAUCUGGCUAGAGUCCGGAAGAGGAGAGUGGAAUUCCCGGUGUAGCGGUGAAAUGCGCAGAUAUCGGGAAGAACACCCGUGGCUAAGGCGGCUCUCUAGUACGGUACUGACGCUGAGACGCGAAAGCGUGGGGAGCGAACAGG